UGGGGAGUCGCCAAGCGGUAAGGCAACGGAUUUUGGUUCCGUCACGCGAAGGUUCGAAUCCUUCCUCCCCAG
rnacentral:tRNA from 1 species